UAGAGAGCGUACAGUACAUCUAUUUUUGAUUUGGGAAUUAACCGUACUGGUGAUAAAAUCGAGAUAUUUUCGUAUGAUUCUUAUCUUGUUAGUGCCAUUAUAUGAAGCGCGGAAAUGCGGAAGACAAAAUUAACUAAACUUUACUAGAUUUUCGCGUUUUCGCGUUCUAUUCCAUUUGUUUUGAUCUCCUACUUUACAUGCAGUACAAUUUGAGCGGAAAAGCGGAACGGGAAAUUAGAAAUUAUUAAUUUGUAACGGUAUUUAUUGAUAAAAAUGCUUGUAUUCAAUACAUAAGCUGAAAAGAUAAGCAUAUUGGUAAAAAUUGCAAUGAAUUAAAUGAAUACAAUUUUUUAAAAUAAAUACAAAAGUGUAUUUUUCAUUAUAUCAUUCCGCUUUUCCGCGGAAAUUAUGCUCCAUGUAAUAUUAAAAGAUCAAAACAGGCGGAACAGAAUGCACGGAAACGGGGAAAUCUAAUAAAGUUUAGUUAAUUUUGUCUUCCGCGUUUCCGCAUUUCUGCGCUUCAUGCAAUGGCAUCCUCAGAUCGUUCGCCAUCUUUGAGAUUUGUUAUUCUGUGCUCGGUCCUCUUUCUGAUGCUCUUGCUACCUAGUUGCGAGAUAUGAUACCAGUUGACUUAUCGCACAGAAGAAAAGAUUUUCGCUCUCCGAACUAACCAUGAUUGGUUAAAACUAUGUUUGCAGCCGUACUAUAAAUUUAUGAACUACAGUGAAAUGAAUGCACAACAAUUCAUUGAUAUUGAUUUAAGUAAUAGCCACAAGUCACACAAGUCACACAGCAAGAAGAAUUAGAUAUUACAAACAUACCGAAAAGACAAAAAGUAGAUGUAGAGGUUUAACAGUCAGCAGGAACAUUGUUUGCAAUAUAACGAAGUCAAAUUUUUAGAAAAUAUUUCUUCAAAUUCACAUUCUCUACAUUAUCUACAUCUGCAAACAAUCGCAGAUAUUGAAACAAGAUUGGAAGAACGGCAAAAUUACAAUCAUUUUGUCAGCCCUCAUAACCUAUUGCAGUGAUAAUAAAUACUUGUUUCGAUGAAGUGAAACAGUGUUUUAUUGUCAUUAAUACAUUCAGAUUGAAGAGGAAACACUACUAAAGACCGUGGACCUUGUCUUCAAAUCAUGAUCUGCUUCUGCCUUCAAAGUAUUAAUAGAAGAGCAUCGAUCAUAUUCAACAUAUGACCAUAUAGCACAGAACGUUGAAAGAAUAUUGCUGAGAUGUUGCAAUGUUGAAUGUUGAAGUGUCAAUGUUUUAUCAAUGUUGUAUCUAUAUUAAUUCUUCUACAUUGUUAAUAUUGCUGCAAUGUUAAAAUGA